rnacentral:rRNA from 1 species
UGGGGGAUUUUGCACAAUGGGCGCAAGCCUGAUGCAGCGACGCCGCGUGAGGGAUGAAGGCCUUCGGGUUGUAAACCUCUUUCGCUGGGUUGAAAGGCCAUGCUUUGGGUGUGGUUGAUUUGAACUGGUAAAGAAGUACCGGCUAACUACGUGCCAGCAGCCGCGGUAAUACGUAGGGUACUAGCGUUGUCCGGAUUUAUUGGGCGUAAAGGGCUUGUAGGUGGUUUGUCGCGUCUUUCGUGAAAUCCUGUGGCUUAACCAUGGUCUUGCGGUGGGUACGGGCAGGCUUGAGUGCGGUAGGGGAGACUGGAAUUCCUGGUGUAGCGGUGGAAUGCGCAGAUAUCAGGAGGAACACCGGUGGCGAAGGCGGGUCUCUGGGCCGUUACUGACACUGAGGAGCGAAAGCGUGGAGAGCGAACAGG